UACGUAGGGGGCAAGCGUUGUCCGGAAUCAUUGGGCGUAAAGAGCGUGUAGGCGGCCAGAUAAGUCCGCUGUGAAAUCUCGAGGCUCAACUUCGAGCUGUCGGUGGAAACUGUCUGGCUAGAGUCCGGAAGAGGAGAAUGGAAUUCCUGGUGUAGCGGUGAAAUGCGCAGAUAUCAGGAAGAACACCCGUGGCGAAGGCGGUUCUCUGGGACGGUACGACGCUGAGCACGCGAAAGCGUGGGGAGCGAACAGG
rnacentral:rRNA from 1 species